rnacentral:rRNA from 1 species
AUUGAACGCUGGCGGCAUGCCUUACACAUGCAAGUCGAACGGUAACAGGUCUUCGGAUGCUGACGAGUGGCGAACGGGUGAGUAAUACAUCGGAACGUGCCCGAUCGUGGGGGAUAACGGAGCGAAAGCUUUGCUAAUACCGCAUACGAUCUACGGAUGAAAGCAGGGGACCGCAAGGCCUUGCGCGGACGGAGCGGCCGAUGGCAGAUUAGGUAGUUGGUGGGAUAAAAGCUUACCAAGCCGACGAUCUGUAGCUGGUCUGAGAGGACGACCAGCCACACUGGGACUGAGACACGGCCCAGACUCCUACAGGAGGCAGCAGUGGGGAAUUUUGGACAAUGGGCGCAAGCCUGAUCCAGCCAUGCCGCGUGCAGGAUGAAGGCCUUCGGGUUGUAAACUGCUUUUGUACGGAACGAAAAGACUCUUUCUAAUAAAGAGGGUCCAUGACGGUACCGUAAGAAUAAGCACCGGCUAACUACGUG